rnacentral:rRNA from 1 species
GACGAACGCUGGCGGCGUGCUUAACACAUGCAAGUCGAACGGAAAGGCCCUGCUUUUGUGGGGUGCUCGAGUGGCGAACGGGUGAGUAACACGUGAGUAACCUGCCCUUGACUUUGGGAUAACUUCAGGAAACUGGGGCUAAUACCGGAUAGGAGCUCCUGCUGCAUGGUGGGGGUUGGAACGCCUCGGCGGUUGCGCCCGGACUCGCGGCCUCUCAGCUGGUUGGUGGGGUAGUGGCCUACCAAGGCUUUGCCGGGUAGCCGGCCGGCGCGGGUGACCGGCCACAUUGGGACUGAGAUACGGCCCAGACUCCUACGGGAGGCAGCAGUGGGGAAUAUUGCACAAUGGGCGGAAGCCUGAUGCAGCAACGCCGCGUGCGGGAUGACGGCCUUCGGGUUGUAAACCGCUUUCGCCUGUGACGAAGCGUGAGUGACGGUAAUGGGUAAAGAAGCACCGGCUAACUACGUG